rnacentral:sRNA from 1 species
GGCCACCAUGACAAUCAGUCUGCGGUGGCUGAGCUUGAUCGCCUCUAUAAGGAGCUGCAGCUAAGAAACAAAUUGAAUCAAGAGCAGAAUGCCAAGCUACAACAACAGAGGGAGUGUUUGAAUAAGCGUAAUUCAGAAGUGGCAGUCAUGGAUAAGCGUGUUAAUGAGCUGAGGGACCGGCUGUGGAAGAAGAAGGCAGCUCUACAGCAAAAAGAAAAUCUACCAGUUUCAUCUGAUGGAAAUCUUCCCCAGCAAGCCGCGUCAGCCCCAAGCCGUGUGGCUGCAGUAGGUCCCUAUAUCCAGUCAUCUACUAUGCCUCGGAUGCCCUCAAGGCCUGAAUUGCUGGUGAAGCCAGCCCUGCCGGAUGGUUCCUUGGUCAUGCAGGCUUCAGAGGGGCCGAUGAAAAUACAGACACUGCCCAACAUGAGAUCUGGGGCUGCUUCACAAACUAAAGGUAAAAAGUCCUGCACAGCCUAGUUCUUCCCUGUCCCCACUAUUCUUUCUCCCAAGUUUGAGUUUAAAAAAAAUCUCUCUUUGUAUUCAUUAUUCAUUUUGAAUUCUAAAAAUCCUUUUGUAUUCUUUGCUAGUGUAAUGAUACGUUUAAAAAAUUAAAAUUGAUACCGUGGUUGUA